GUGAACUUACUCCAAAAACACACUCGUCCCCAUAUGUCCAAUAAUCUCAUCCACAUAUGCCAUGGACACUUGACACUACAAGCUAGCUAGGUAUAGCCAACUGCGAUAUCCAUGCAUCUAUGUUUAUGCAUGAACAUCGCAUCAUCAAUUUGUGUGUCUAUAUAAGGCAUUGGAAAGUGGAAACUCAAACUGUGUGGAGAGAAACUUGUAGAAUUUCCAGCUACUUACCUGGUGAAGUAACUACUUUUGUUGCAAUUACAUGAUGGCUUUCUUAACGGUGAACAAGCGCAAUAACAUCUCUCUUCAGCUCGCAUUUCUGCUACUCUUCCUCGUCCCGGCACUAUUACUCGUAGCUCAUGCACGAGAUAUCAGCAGCAGCAGCAGAAGGGUCGAUGUCGUCGUGAAGAAAGGUGCUGCUGCAAGUAGUGUGCUUCAAGAUGCAGAACCAAUCGAGAGCAGUGAUAUCAGCAGCAGCAGAAGCAGCCACGCAUUUGAAACAAAGCACGAACAAGAGAAUCUGACUGGUACAGAAGGCAUAGAUGACGAUUUACUGGUCGGGGAUUACACCCCAACUAGAAAGAAGUCUCCCAUUCAUAACUAAUGAAUGAAUGGUUCGAUCAAUCUCCGCCAUAAUAAAUUAAACUAGUAAAUCAAAUAUUGGUCCAUGCAGUAAGUACGUACUUGAAGAUUCCAUAUUUGAAACUCUCGAGUAAAUGUCUCUUCUGUGCUUGGCUAGCAGCUUGCUAGCUUCUGGAUCAUAAGGUAGCUAUCUAGCUAAAUAAGCCCUAUCUAAUAGGGUUCACUGGUUAGGGUGUGACGUGCGUGUGAGAAAGCUAUUGCUGCUGUUUACAUAUAUGUUGCCUGCAAGGCUUCUUAUUUGGUCUUUUAUAUGUACCAAUAAAUGUAAAGGUUGCUUGUUCACCAUAGAUAUGUUAUAUGAUAGAAUGACAAACAUGGCCUUACUUAA